AUGUACAUGUUGACUAAUUCUCAUCUAGAUUUGUUGUUUAUACAUCGUGCAGACAAUAAUGUGCCUUCGUUCCCGGAUAGGAGUACUCUUGCAUCACUUUAUGCCACAGGUCACGCAGAAGGCGGCAGUGCCAGAGAAUCUGCCCGCAAUGAUGUGUGUCUUAAUGCCCUUGGUUGUGGUGGUUCAGAGCUUGUGACAUCGUCUACCCCAACAUGUGAUGUAUACCCAACUCAUUCCCAGACAACAUGUGCUGUUGUGAAUGACCAAGUGAGUUAUAGCAUAACAGAAGACAAAAGGGAGCAGAGAAACGCACGAAGGCGAGCAACUUAUCGAAAGAAAAAGGAUGAACAGGUCAAGCUCCAAAAUGAAAAGCAGACUGUUUCCCGACCCCCUCUUGGUGAUAUCACUAAUAUUGAUCAGCCUUCCGGUUCGAUGCCAGGUACGGGUGUUUAA
rnacentral:rRNA from 1 species